CAAAACACAGAAGUGGUCAUGGUGGCUGGAUUAACCCUAUGAAUGAAACACGUGUGAGGUUUAUCGUUCUUGCCUCCUGCAAAGAGACCUGAAUUUUAGAGACCAGUCAUGAAUUUCUGGGGUAUGUAAUGGUUAGACAGUGGCUUAGAGGUUUGAAAUUCACAGUAGUAGUUGGAAAGGCUCUUCUGUGGUAAAAACAAAACAGCAAAAAGUUACAGUUGCAAGUGAAAU